AGUGAACGCUGGCGGUAGGCCUAACACAUGCAAGUCGAACGGCAGCACAGUAAGAGCUUGCUCUUACGGGUGGCGAGUGGCGGACGGGUGAGGAAUACAUCGGAAUCUACUUUUUCGUGGGGGAUAACGUAGGGAAACUUACGCUAAUACCGCAUACGACCUACGGGUGAAAGCAGGGGAUCUUCGGACCUUGCGCGAUUGAAUGAGCCGAUGUCGGAUUAGCUAGUUGGCGGGGUAAAGGCCCACCAAGGCGACGAUCCGUAGCUGGUCUGAGAGGAUGAUCAGCAACACUGGAACUGAGACACGGUCCAGACUCCUACGGGAGGCAGCAGUGGGGAAUAUUGGACAAUGGGCGCAAGCCUGAUCCAGCCAUACCGCGUGGGUGAAGAAGGCCUUCGGGUUGUAAAGCCCUUUUGUUGGGAAAGAAAAGCGGCAGGUUAAUACCCCGCUGUUCUGACGGUACCCAAAGAAUAAGCACCGGCUAACUUCGUG
rnacentral:rRNA from 1 species